GACGAACGCUGGCGGCGUGCUUAACACAUGCAAGUCGAACGGAAAGGCCCUGCUUGCAGGGUACUCGAGUGGCGAACGGGUGAGUAACACGUGGGUGAUCUGCCCUGCACUUCGGGAUAAGCCUGGUAAACUGGGUCUAAUACCGGAUAUGACCUUCCAUGUAGUGUGGGGGGUGGAAAGAUUUAUCGGUGUGGGAUGAGCCCGCGGCCUAUCAGCUUGUUGGUGGGGUAAUGGCCUACCAAGGCGUCGACGGGUAGCCGGCCUGAGAGGGUGGACGGCCACAUUGGGACUGAGAUACGGCCCAGACUCCUACGGGAGGCAGCAGUGGGGAAUAUUGCACAAUGGGCGGAAGCCUUAUGCAGCGACGCCGCGUGGGGGAUGACGGCCUUCGGGUUGUAAACCUCUUUCGACAGGGACGAAGCUUCGGUGACGGUACCUGUAUAAGAAGCACCGGCUAACUACGUG
rnacentral:rRNA from 1 species